AGUGAACGCUGGCGGUAGGCCUAACACAUGCAAGUCGAACGGCAGCACAGGAGAGCUUGCUCUCUGGGUGGCGAGUGGCGGACGGGUGAGGAAUACAUCGGAAUCUACUUUUUCGUGGGGGAUAACGUAGGGAAACUUACGCUAAUACCGCAUACGACCUACGGGUGAAAGCAGGGGACCUUCGGGCCUUGCGCGAUUGAAUGAGCCGAUGUCGGAUUAGCUAGGUGGCGGGGUAAAGGCCCACCAAGGCGACGAUCCGUAGCUGGUCUGCGAGGAUGCUCGGCCAAACGGGAACGAAGACACGGUCCAGACUCCUACGGGAGCCAGCAGUGGGGAAUAUUGGACAAUGGGCGCAAGCCUGAUCCAGCCAUACCGCGUGGGUGAAGAAGGCCUUCGGGUUGUAAAGCCCUUUUGUUGGGAAAGAAAUCCAGCUGGCUAAUACCCGGUUGGGAUGACGGUACCCAAAGAAUAAGCACCGGCUAACUUCGUGCCAGCCGCCGCGGUAA
rnacentral:rRNA from 1 species